UACGAAGGGGGCUAGCGUUGCUCGGAAUCACUGGGCGUAAAGGGUGCGUAGGCGGGUCUUUAAGUCAGGGGUGAAAUCCUGGAGCUCAACUCCAGAACUGCCUUUGAUACUGAGGAUCUUGAGUUCGGGAGAGGUGAGUGGAACUGCGAGUGUAGAGGUGAAAUUCGUAGAUAUUGGGAAGAACACCGGUGGCGAAGGCGGCUCUCUGGACCGAUACUGACGCUGAGGCGCGAAAGCGUGGGGAGCAAACAGG
rnacentral:rRNA from 1 species